rnacentral:lncRNA from 1 species
CAAUCUGAGAGCAUCCUGGAGCAGCAGAGGCUUGUUGAAGCAUGCAGAGAUGACUUAGACCAUAGGUCGGCACUUGAAAAGACACCAUUCGUCCCCCCUCUUGGUUUCACACUGUGAAUGUGUCACACAGGAUCCUUUCCAGCUCAGUUGUGAAGCUGGAAGGGGAUUACUACAUGUUAGCUUUGCUUCUGCACUGGGUCCUAAGGUCUGGUGAGGAAAAUGCUUGUGUGGCUGCUGUGUCCAUGGCUAUCUGUGUAAGUGCCCACGUUGUUCGUCUCUUCUGCUGUAGAUCUCUCCAAAGUGAAACUCAUGCGCUUUGAUGAUCCUCUGUUGGGGCCUCGACGAGUUCCAGUCCUGGGGAGAGAGCAGAACGAGAAGACACUCAUUUCUGAGAAUGCCAUUUUCCACGUGGACCUAGUGAGCAAGAAAGUUCACCUUACUGAGAACGGGCUGCGCGCAGACAUCGGUGACACAAUAGUCUAUCUGGUUCACUGAGACCAUGCAAACGGAAAAGUCAGGAUGGUUAUAGGAUGCUUCUGCUCUGAGACUCUCAAGCUAGAUCUAAACAAACUUCAUUUCUAACUGCUGGGUUCUGUAUGUAAUCAUAAUUACCCCAAUUCUUUCAUUUCUAAUCUAAUAAACUAGCAGUUUUC